rnacentral:misc_RNA from 1 species
UGGGAUUUGAGGGCUCCUGGUUGUCAGAGGGAGUAUGAAAGUCGUGCUGCAGUUAACACUGUUGUUCUACAUCCUAAUCAGACUGAACUGAUAUCUGGAGAUCAAAAUGGUAAUAUCCGUGUGUGGGAUUUGACUGCAAAUUCAUGCAGCUGUGAAUUGGUGCCAGAAGUGGAUACAGCUGUAAGAUCUUUGACGGUUAUGUGGGAUGGGAGCUUG